UUUUACGACGAUUUUUGAAAUAACGCGGUUUUUUAGGACAGACCGUGUAAAAAAGAACCCGCGUAAAAAAAAACUUCAGAGUAAUAUCGGUUUUCCUACUUAUGGUUUUGCCGACGACUACCCAACAUUGUUCCUGGACACCUCAUGUUGAGUUCAGAAUCAAGAAAGCUUUUAUGGCCUUCGGGCAAUGCCGGCGAACAUUUGGAGCAAUUUGGGGUCUAAAACCCAAGUAUAUCAAAUGGAUUUACACAACUAUUUUUCGACCAAUAUUGGCCUAUGGAUGUCUUGUGUGGUGGCAAAAGGGCGAAGUGCGAACGAUCCAAUCAAAGUUAGGCCAUCUCCAAAGGACGUGUUUAAUGGCGAUGCUUGGAUCGUUCUCUUUAACUCCCACGGCAGCGCUCGAAGUUCUUUUGAUGUUGCCCCACUACACAUUCAUCCCAAACAAGAAGCACUUUCUUGCACUUACCGGCUAUGGGUACUCAGUCUACUAGAAGAAACUCCUGCGAACCGCACAUCAACUCGUUGUUUCCACUUUUAGUGAAUUGGGACAAAAUUGCCCUUGCUCCAAGUGAUCUUACAAUUGCUUGUAAUUUCCCAUAUAGGGUGACAUUGGGUAUUAUCGGCAGGUUUGUUCUCUUCGUCAUGGGGGGUUUUUGUCAGCCAAAUUGCCUGAAACUUGGCCAUCUAAUUCACAUUGGUUGGGAAGGAUUUGAGGCCAACUCUGAGUUCAAUAGGUUUUAAAAAAAAACCCCAAGACGAAGAGAACAAAACGGCCGAGAAUAGGUAAUUUCCCCUAGGACAUUUUCCACAAAAUUCCCUUCCCGGGAAGAGUGGACAUCUGGAUAUCUGGAAAGAAGUAUUUCAGACGGCUUAGAGUGUUACACUGAUGGCUCCCUUCUCGAAGGUCAAGCAGAUGUUCAGUUGCUAGCCAGACAUUGCUCGCGUCAUACGUAAUUCUUUGUCUUUCUUGCUUUCCUUCGCGUUUGGUGAAAAAUGUCGAGUGCGCGAAAAAACACUCUAAUUAUUGAUUUUAGUGUUCUGCCGAUACGCCCUGAAAUUGCUAAAGUGCGAGAUUUUCUGGAGAAUGAAAUUAAGCUCCAAUAUUCGGACAUUCGGAGCAUACAGUUGCACCAUACCCGCAACUGCGUGUUCAUUGAGAUGAUUUCUCAUGAAAUUACUGUUCGCUAUCAAAAAGAGCAUAACUGGAGGAGAGUUAUGCUUUGUGGAGACGUAAAGUUUCGCAUACCGAUUUUUGUGGAUUGUGAUGCCGUGACGGUACGGGUGCACGAUCUUUCCCCGUCAAUGAACCACGUCACAAUCGCUGACCAUAUGUUAAAGUAUGGCGAGGUUAUAUCCAUAAGGAAUGAGAAGUGGAAGCACUACUUUCCUGCACUCAGGCAAAUAAACCUACGAUUAUCAUAAGGUCUAACUUAUGAAAUGGCCUUUAAACACUUCAUAACGGCUAGAACGAUUUUCAUAAGGUCGGUCUAUGACGCAGAAUCGACUCACAGUUUGGCUUUUAUACACAUUUAGCAACACGAUAUUCUCAAGCGUCGAUAGCCGCGUGGGUUGGGCACGAGCUCAGUGAUCUCGUCGUUCAUGGAUCGAUUCCAGUCUGCAUCAUUUUGUGAUUUUUCUGCUCUUUUCAUAAGUUUAUCUUAUGUUAUUAGGUCAUAAUAAGCAUGUUCAAUUUUCAUAAGAUAUUCUUAUGGCAUCCAUACUUUACAGUUAUGGCUAAAUUUCAUAAGGUAUUUUGAUGAAUUUCGGUAGUUCACUUCGCUGAGUGUGGUAUAGCCAACGGGGUGCGAGUACUGAGAAUGAACCUACUCCGUCACAUUCCCUCGUUCAUUACCAUCGUAACUCACGAAACCAUGGUUUCUUACAUCGAUCAACCGAAAUCAUGUCGCCACUGCGGCCAACCGUCUCAUCCUGGCGGAAAAUGCCCGGACUCGAACGUCGUUUCUUCCCAUCCAAAUGUGAGAACACCAACUUCGACGACGUCAAAGUCAUUCGGCGGGUUAUUUAAUUGUGAUGAUUUCCCACCGAUAAACGAAGAGCGACAAACGCCAUCAUCACCCAUUCACUCGAACAAAACAGCACGCAGAGAAACAACAAACCAACAGAAGACUGAUGACGACGACUGGACUGAUGAUGACAAAGCAUCGAGCUCAUCCACCGAACACAAUAGUGCAUCGAACAAGCGACGGCGAUCGAGACGCAACAAUGCACAGCUUACAACGAAAAAGGCUUGCUCUGAUCAGUGCCCCCCAAACGCUGAUCAUGCGGUACAAACGUUAUCACCGGAUGAAAAAGAAGGGUCAUCAAAAAAUAAAUUUAUUAACGAUGUAAAUUAUCCUAUACAAAAUAGAAAAUGAAAACCGGCUCUGUUAAGCUUAAUUUGGCGGGUGAGCCUUGAAAUAAACGAAAUAGUAAAAAAAAGCAGAUGUUGGUGUUUAUUCUCGUGAGCUAAGGCUGCAUCAGUCUUAUUCACUUGGUGGACACUGCACCGUUUGUCAGACCGAAAUCUUUGCUCUUAUGUGAGGAGUACAAUCAGCACUUCAGCAGCACGUAAUGGGCAAAGUAAUAUCACAGACAGACAGACGUAAUGGCUUGGAACAAAUUGCGAUAAAAAUCAUCGUCACGAAAACAUAAUCGCCCAAUGCUAACCAGGCUGUGUUACGCAAACCACUCAGUAGGUGGCAGUAGUGAGCAAACGUCAAACAGGAGCAAAAACGAUGUGAGCGCCGUGACCGAGAGAUUUGCGAACUACAAAAUAUUUGAACUAACCAUUGAAAAGGUAACGAUGAGAAGUGAGUAGAGUGAGACGUCUGUUUGUCUGUGAUAAUAUACUUCUGUUUAGAUAGCCUGGUUGCUAUUAAAGCACUUGCUUCGGCUAACUCUAGGUAGAACAUAGUUAUUGCUUGUCGAACUCAAAACGAGGAGCUGAAUUCAGCAAACGCUGUUCACCUUGUAUGGGUACCUGGCCAUUCUUCCAUCGCUGGAAAUGAAUUGGCUGAGGAGUUAGCUCGCACUGGAGAAUUACAUGACUUUAUUGGCUCUGAGCCAGCUAUUCCGGUAUCGAAGUGUUGGGUAAAGCUUCAGAUUGAGACCUGGGCUAACACUCAACACAGAUAAUACUGAAAUAGUUUGGAGUCAUGUCGUCAAACAAAAUUGUUUUGUACUGAGCCAUCUCCAAGGGUGGCGAAAUAUCUUACAAAUCUGUCAAAGCAGAAUUGCAGCAUUAUGGUCAAAGCAUUGACUGGCCACUGCCGACUCAACAAUCACAUGCUGAAUAUUCAGCAAGCUGAGUCAUUUGUAUGUGAUAGCUGUGAAUCCGAUUAUGGAACUUCGUAUCAUUUGAUAUGUAAAUGUCUAGUUUUUGCGCAACUGCGUUUCCGAGUAUUUGGUAAACACUUAUUAAGCGAAACUGACUCAGAAACCUGAAUCUUCAGGAUAUUCUGUUGUUCUUAACCCGCUGUGGUAAAGAGCUAUAGGUUCUCUUUCGCUUUAUGCGUUAUUACAGUGCCAUUUUCAGGGCGCUGUUUAAACCCUUUGUGGUACGCUCAUGCGUUAGUACCCUCUUCCAGGGUAUUUUUCCUAUUUCCCUACCUGUCCUUAUCCCAAUCCUUACACUUAUUUCCUUCAUUUUCCCUCAGGUCGAUGAUGAAAUAGGCUUUUAUUAUGGCGAUGGCACAAAUGUCCCAAAUGGAAAAUACAGGGCUGUUACAGAAGGGUCGAUGUGGAAACUGCAAAAUCUGCGCCAAGCCAAAUGAAAUCCGCGCCGAGGUGACCAACUCCGCGCCAGUACAAAAACAUAUGGUUUUGAUGAAUCAAACUCAUAUAAAGCCAGAUUUUUUUUUGAGAAAAUUUACUAUUCGUGACAUUUGUUGCAAUACAUAUGAAGAGUAUUUCUAUUGAUAAAUUUAGAACAAUAGUUUAAAAAACGUUGAAGGCAGGUUAAAGUUUUUUUAAUUGAUUUAAAAAAUGUUUGAUUAAUAGUUCCUUGAUUGCUUAUUAAUUAGGGUGUCUCCUGUUUAACGAGAAUAUAAUUUGCUGUUCACUGCAACAGUUACAAAAAAGAGCAUUCUUGACGAAAGUUUUGAUAUAAUUUAUAGCCAACAUAAUGAACUCCUGUAAAAAGUCUGGAGUAAGCCAUAAAAGCUGGUUCGGAAAAAAUGUAUGAUCAUUGUCAGAAACUUUUGAGAAAUUCAUGGAUUACUUUUUGUAGACAUUUAUAUCGCGAAGAUACAAAUGGAAUACAGUUGACUCUCGACUUCUCGAUAUUGAAGGGACCCAUCGAGAUAGGGAGAGAUCGAACUCAAGAACCAAUUUGUAAUGCACACUAGAUUGAAAAAUCGUCCGUAACUAGGAAAAACCAUCAACAAACAGAUGUCACUUCGCCUUCCCAGAAUGUUUUGCACCUAAGAAACGAGAUCUAGCAAUUUGUAAAAACGGGCAUAUCGACAUAUGGAGAGGAAAUGUAGAACAAAACCGAACGAGAUCGCAUCAAGAUAGAGAGAUAUCAAGACAAGGAGAUAUCGACAUGUAGAAAGGUAAAAUGUAUGCAGAUUGAAGGGACCGACCAAACCAUCGAGAUAGGGAGAGAUAUCGAGAUGUAGAACAUCGACAUGUGGAGAAACGACUGUAAUACUAAUGCAAUUUUUUUUAAUGAACAAUACAUACUUUUUAAUCCUAAGGGAAAUAUUUCUAAAAAAGGAUGAACUACAAAAAUGUCUGAAAAGUUUAAACAUUAAGUAAAAGGUGUAAAAACGUAUUAUUUCGAGAAAAUUUUAUAAAAAGAGGUUCUGGCCACACCUAACCCGUGAAAAUUUAGUGAAGAUUUCAGUGAAAAUGACCCGUGAAUCCGCCACAUCGACGAUUCUUAUGAACUAGAUGAGGUAUAAAUUUUAUAAUUAUAACGACCAUCGUUAAACGAUAUGUAGAAGUUGCUAAUAUAAAAUUACAAUUUGGUCCGCGUAUGAUCCAUUUCACCCCGCUGAUCAAUUAGGUUUACGGUAGUUUUUGAAGCAUCGUGGUACGGCUGACAUAAGAAAUACCACUGUCAUUACUUGUUGAAUUGUAUGUAAUGGCUUUCGCGACACCAUCCCCCCUCACCUUUAGACACUAUAGAUUCCAUAGACUCGCGGAGGCGAAGACAACUGUAGCCAAAUGAACUGUCAGUUCCUGUAGCCAAACGAGCAUGACGUCAUGAUUUCAAUAGUGACAAUGGAUUGCGUGACGUCAUAUUCGCUCGGUACACUCUAAAUUCACGGCAAAACACACUGUUCCGGGAGAUAGACAAAACACUGAUCAAUUCCUUUUAGCAGAUCGCCAUUUUUAUUUCUUGCAGCAAUACAGCUUGAAGCUGAAAUAUAUUUUAGCCAUUAGUAUUAAUUAACAAAUUCAACUUCUUAUGAAUUCCUCUGCUCACAUUUUUCAGUGUUAUGAUUUAAAAAACAGCACAAAUAUGGUGAAAAUAGAUAAAAGAUGAAAAUAUUAACAGUAUGCUUAAUGGAGGUUCUUCCUCGGCGCACGACUUUUCCAGUUCUGCCUGUCGAGCGCAGUUUGUAAGGUUGUCAGACCCGACUUCCGCUGUGUGCUUGCGUUCGCUUCGGACUGACAGCGUUUUAACAUUGGGCGUUCGUCGGCUCACUUGAAACCGUGUUGCCAGUUGCCGACACACACCAAAGUCGUUUUGCUCAACCAUGUCUCCACGAGUCUAUGGAAUCUAUAGUGUCUAUACCCUCACCACGCUUUUCGAAGAACAAUGGAAGCGUGUGUGCAUGUGGUUGGAGGUUGUGAAACGAAGUUUGGGAAAUUGCUUUUAGAAACCGACAGAAACAUAUUGUUAUUAUUAGGUUAGCUAGGUAUUCGUAAGCUAAAUCUGAAAGAAUUUACGAGUAAGUCUUUUAAAAAAAAUAUUUUAAUGCACACUUGUAAUUCUGCACAUCUACGGCAAAAAUUAUCGAAAGCUGAACCAGGUUUAAGUGUGAGCUAGUGCUAAAGGGAAGUAAUGACGCAUUGAUAAUGUGUAAAUGCAAUUAUUUGUUCAAGUUAUGUAUUGUAUGUUAAGGUUCAAGGAAUGAGCCAGCCUAGGGCUGAAAAUCUCUAUAAUCUACCAGUAAAAAACAGAUUGACAGGAUUCAGAUCAAGAUAGCAGAAACGGAACGUACCAACAUCAAGCAAUCUGUUCAAUGCCAAACGCUCACGACCAUCGAAAAGAAGAUUGAGUUGAUCGAAUCGGGGGCAAAACUCGCCGGCACAUUAGCAGAAAAUGCAAACAGUUGUCGCCUUGCCAUCAACAAGGUACCAGUUAAGAAAAACGAGAACGUUAGGGCUAUCGUCGAAAACAUCGUCCAAUUUCUAGACCUUCAACAUACAAUCCCGCGGCUGGUAACGUGCUUCAGGGUGCCACCAAAACCGUCAAAGUGGACCGAUCGUUCGAUUACUCCCACCAUCAUCGCAAUAUUCACCGAUCGCGGGACCAAAGAGGCCGUCCUUCGGAAAUACAGGGGAUGGCCAAAAUGUUUGGGAUAGGCAACUUUUUUUCUUUCACAAAAAAGUUCAACAUGCUGUAACUUUUCAUAGAGUGCAUCAAAUAUUCUCAGAUUUCGACCGUUUGUCAACCUAUUAUAUGUGCAUCAGUGGUACAAAUUUGAGCUCGAUUGGUUAAUCUUUCGCAAAGUUAUAACCGUUCUGGUAAAACACUAUUUUUGAGACUAUCAAUUUUUGAACUCUCAUAUCUCAUACCAGUAAACAGAAUUGAAUGGAAUUUUGAGCAAUUAUCAAUAAUAUAAAAAUGCUUAAAAUUUCAUCAAAAUAUAGGUACUUUUUAAACGUUGAAAAAAGUUAUGAUGGAUUGACAAUUUUGAAUCUUUUUCGAAAAAAAUGUAUUUAUUUUUACAUCAAUGUCAUUAAAUUUUAUUUUUGAUAUCCAAAGAUUUUCUACUUCUGUUCAGGAGAUAUCUAUAAUAAGAUAUAUUAGAGCCUAUUUGGAUUAAAGGAACAACAUGUUUAGUAUUUUUUGUGCAGUAUUGUAAAUUUUACUCAUUUUCCUCUAUAUGGGUGAAAAUGUCAAACCAUCAUAACUUUUUCCAACGUUUAAUAAGUACCCAUGUUUUGAUGGAUUUUGAUGAUGCUUGAAAAUUAUUAUAUUGUUGAUAAUCGCUCAAAAUUUCAUUCAAUUCGGUUCACUGGUCUCUGAGAUAUGAGAGUUCAAAUAUUGAUAGUCUUAAAAAUAGUGUUUUACCAGAACGGUUAUAACUUUGCGAAAGAUUAACCAAUCGAGCUCAAAUUUGUACCAAUCAUGCACAUAUAAUAGGUUGACAAACGCAUGUUGAACUUUUUUGUUAAAGGAAAAAAGGCCUAUCCCAAACAUUUUGGCCAUCCCCUGUAUUUUGAGGUGUACAAAAGAGCUAAACUAUCCGCUUGGGAGAACAGUUUCCCUGUUGAUUAUAAAUUCACGAUGAACGAGGUGCUUUCGGUUAACCCUUUAAUACCCAAAUUUAUGAUUUUGAUCUAAAUAUCAUUUUUCGUCAUCUAAAAUCGAUUUAAACAUGUUUUGGAAGAUGAUUCUUUUUAAUUCUCGAUUUAGUGAAUUUCAGUUUCUGAUUUUUCUAUUUUUUAUUUUUGAACAUCCCUACAGUUUUAUAUUUUUCCUGGAAGCCUAUUUGGGGUACGGAUUUUUUGAGAUGAAAACAUUUUGAGAUUUUAUGAUUAUUGUUGAAAUAUUAUUAUUUUAAUUUUUUUUCACAGAAAAUUUUAUUUUCCGUAUAAUUUUAAGGAAAAUAAUUUUAGAGUGUAUUCGAUUCCCUUAAACUGUUAAACAAGGAUAGAAUGAUUUGGGAAAAAUUUAAAAUAUGUUAAUUGUAGCGAUUCAAUACAAAAUAAACAAUGACUUCUAAAAGGUGACUAAAACAUCAAUUUUUCAAUGAUUUAAAAAAAAUGUAAAUACGCUUUACAAUACACAAAAAACCAUUUUGAGAUAUACAAAACAGUCCUAAAUAUGUAUGUAUGUGUAUGUAUGUACAAUCCAUCUCCCACUGACCGGCAGUGCUUUUAUGGAAGAAAAAUGUCUGCGUCUAUUUUAACUUUUAUCCAUAGACGCAAACAGUUUUAGUCCUGGAAAUAGAAGGUGAUAGCUCUACUGCACGUCCAACGACCCAUUUCAAGUAUGACAGGGCUUCCACGUACAUCUUGAGGUCGUUUUCUGAAACAGUAAGCCUCGCAUUGAUGCAUCCGGAUAUCAUUUGGAUAUCUGAAAUGCAUUAACACUUCCUGAAUCAAAAAUUUGCAUUUUUGUUUCUGGCGCGUAUUUGGUAUGGUAAAUAUCCCAUGUAUGAUUAAAAUGACGUUUUUUAAUUAGAAAGAUCUCACCAAGUUCUUCAUAGUCUGCCGUGAUGUAGUUGUAUUCUCAUUUCUCCAGCGGUGCAGCAGCGAUCGAAAUAGGAUUUAUUUCAUUACCGCGUACACUUAAAACGACGUACUCUUCACUUUGCCUCCAAAAUCACACUAAACCGCCCCGUACGAAGAUGAGCACAGUCAAAUCGUCGACAACGACGACGCGGCCGGUCCUAAUGAAAAAAGCGUCUUUUCACUUUGCCUCCAAAAUCACACUCAUACAAAACAAUCCUAAAUAUCAGCCAAAAAUACAAAAAAAUUAUUUUCCGCGAAACAAAAAUUACAAAAAUGCUCAAACUAUACCCCGUCUAAAGGUGGGAUUGGGUAUUAGAGGGUUAAUACAUUCCGCACCCACAAUUUCGCGCUUUGACUCAAACAACAGAAACUUGUCGAAUCUGUUUUUGUAAAAAAAUGAUCGGGUGUCCGUUCGGCUACCAGGUCAGAAAAGAUAUUGUCUAGUUGACGAUACCGAACACCUCAUCCAGAUCACCAGCACCUCUGAUGAAGAAGCCCAAACUUCCGUUUUCUUCGAUGCUCGUUCAACAAAUUCUUCCUUCGUUACACCAAACUAGUAUUACAUCGCAAGCUGACGAAUAUAAAACUACCUUCUAUGUGUACAUCAAACCUUGUAAAAAAAAAUUUUGAUCAUUUAUGACUUACUAGCUGUCCCGGCAAACUUUGUCUUGCCAAGUAGUGGUGGUUUGACAGUUGUUAGGGUCACUGCAGCACGGCACUCUAGAUUGGUUUCAUUUCAAUCGUGUUGAUUGAAUCCCAGGUCAUGAAAAAUCAUUACUUUACCAUUUUUCUUACUGUUUUACUUAAUUUUCAUAUUUUUUUUUACUUAUAAACACAGCCACCAUGAAUACGAAUCAAACCAUGCAAGAGUCAUCCUGAUCGGUUCAGCCAUUCGUGAGUUUUGUUGCCUCAAAGGGACUUCAAACUCAUUUUUAUAUAUAUAGAUAUAUUGAGCUAUCAAAAACAUUUAACUAAACUUAAAACUUCACACGGAAGAAAAUUAUUUCGAUUAGAUUAUUUUUCUAAUAUGUUAAAAAUUUAUCCAAAACUUCAUCAUCGUUUCGAAAUUCGAGAUGGUAAUUAUAGUUCAUUUAAAUUCCCUCUAUUUGACUUGAAUAUAUUUAUGUUUCAAAGGAAAGCAACGAAAUAGCCUUCAUUAAAUUGAACAAAUAAUGGGAUGCAUAUGAAAAAUAGAUAAAUAUACUGAAAAAACAUGGAAUAAAUGAAAUCGCAAUAACUUUUUUUCAUAUUACUAAUUUCAAAUUAAGUCAACUGUUUUUCAAAGUUCAUUAUAUUAGUCACAAAUGAUCAAAAUUUCAUUGCAUUCGGUUCAUUGAAUCCGGAGAUAUAACAGCUCAAAGUUGGCUAUCGAAUAAUUAUACCUUUUUCUAGAAUCUUUAUAGCUUCGUGUAGAAUGGCCCGAUCUUUUCCAAAUUUUGACCACUGAUACACAACUAGUUGAUGAACUUACAGUAAAAAUUUGAGAAUAUUUGAUACCCUUUUCAAAAAGUUACAGCGAGUUGAACAUUUUUUGAAAAGUGAAAAUUUUACCUGUCCCAGUUGUUUUGAUUAUCCCCUGUAGGUCACCUUAACGUUCGUGGUCUCGAAUGUUCAAUAGGACAGAUCGGUGAAGUACUAGAUUUGUAGUAAUGAGCUGAAUUUUAGUAUGGUGAGAAGGUCAAUUCUCCGUUUCUGCAGUAAAAUGGCGCAAAAAGCGUGGGUAUUAUGAUUCCUUGCCUAAUUUAAUGCUGUUUGAGCAAAACUUUGGGCAACAGUGUUGUUGUUUUCUCCAUUUCUUGCAAUAUAAACAACAUAGUUAUUCAAAGUUUUGCUCAAUCAGCAUCAAAUUAGACAAGAAAACAUAAUACCCACGCUUUUUGCACCAUUUCAUUACAGAAAUAGAGAACUGACCUUCUCACCAUACUAAAAUUCAGCUCAUUACUACAAAUCUAGUACUACACCGAACGUGCCCCAUUGACGGCAUCAAACUCCUACUCGACAAACAAAACUACCACUUUUUCGGAUUGAUGGAAAUCAAGAUGACGCAGUCUGCACCAGUACACAGAAAAAAAUAUGUAAUUAAAAUUAAGCGAGAAAUCAUGCACAUAAAGGGAAUGCUAGAGUUAGUGCACUUUUACAUGAGAUAUAAUGUAAAAUUACAUCACCAUCGUGUAAAUUUCCGCCAACCAUCGCGUAAACCAUCAUGGACUCCAACCGGUUACGCGACUAUUAGCGGAAAUUUACACGAUCGUAACGUAAUUUUACAUGAUAUCUCGUGUAAAUAUGCACUAACUCUAGCAUUCCCUUUAUGUGCAUGAUUUCUCGCUGAAUUUUACAUGAAUAUUUUUUUCUGUGUAGGGCCAGUACGCAUCCCGGGGUAUAAUUUCAUCCGUCACUGUCUUCCAACUAAGCGAGGACGAGGCAGCAGCACUUAUGGUGGCGUUGACGUGUAUGUUAAAAAGGGAAUCAAGGCGACCCCGAUCCUAAAAUCAUCUUUCGACGCAAGACUGCCAAUAGGACACGUUCGGUGUAGUACUAGAAUUGUAGUAAUGAGCUGAAUUUUUGUAUGGUGAGAAGGUGAAUUCUCCGUUUCGGCAAAGAAAUGGUGCAAAAAACGUGGGUAUUAUGAUUCCUUGCCUAAUUUAAUGCUAUUUGAGCAAAACUUUGGGUAAAUGUAUUGUUUACAUUGCAAGAAAUGGAAACAACAACAACAAUGUUGCCCAAAGUUUUGCUCAAACAGCAUCAAAUUAGGCAAUGAAUCAUAAUACCCACGCUGUUUGCACCAUUUCCUUGCAGAAACGGAGAAUUCACCUUCUCACCAUACAAAAAUUCAGCUCAUUACUACAAAUCUAGUACUUCCUGAUUGUGUCCUAUUGCGACACAGUUUGAGUAUCUAGCACUGCAAAUCAAAAUCAAUCAUCUCAACAUUUUCGUUGCUGUGGUAUACAACUCUUCCGGAACUAACCCGCUUUUCGCCGCGAACUACGAAAAACUUCUUCUCGACCUCUUGGACUUCAACUUCGACAGAACCUUCAUCAUUGGUGACUACACUGAAAGGCGGCUUGCAGUAAUGACAAGCAUAACAAUGUUUAUAAAUUUACCAUGGCAAAACAUGAUCAUCGACCCACCAACGCUUCUUGUGUGCGUUUUGUUUCUUCUCACAUCAACCGGUUCGAUAGCCGAGUGGUAGCGUGCUAGCCUGGUGAUAUCAAGGUUCUAGGUUCGAAUCCUAAUAUGGGGCAAAAGUUCGCAUUGGAGUACUUGUUUUAAAAAUUGUAUUACUAAAACUACAAAAGGAACGCGAAAAAAUCUAGUACUACGUUUUGAAGGCAACAUGAUAGGCACCCGUUUAACGAAGAAAAACGAUAUUGUUUUCUUUUCGUUUAAUGGUUAUUUUGUGAAGUCUGCUAGGUGCGAACUUUUGCCCCGCAUUACUCUAGCAUGCAUUGAGAUUAGAAUAAAGUAGGUACAUACUACAGUUGACACCACAUCUUGAUGUUCUACAGGUAAAUAUCAUCUUUUACCGACUUUACGAACCCUUUAAGCAGAAUACCCUCUUCGAAUGAGUGUAUUCAGUUUUGUUUAAUUCUGCCCUCUAUAGAGAGCGGAAUUAAAAGGUACAAAACUGAUUACAGUUCUUGUAUCACUUGGAUAUCACUUUAUCUCCCUGUCUUUAUUCGAUCCCGAUGGUUUUUGUUCUAGAUUUUCUCUCGAUUUGUCAAUAUACUAUUUUUAUAGGUUACUGUAUACCUGAUUUCCAAGGUGCAAAUUAUUCUGAGAAGGUGAAAUUAUAUCUGUUUGGCGAAAGGUUUUCCUUGUUACAAAAGUUUCAAAAUUGGUUCUUCUUUUCGAUCUCUAAAUUAUUCACGCAAAGAAUUUUCAGCUAUUCAAAACUAUGAUAGUUCAUUUUGAAUCAAACAAUAUCUUUUUAUUGUUUUAAAAAAGUUAUUAUUUGAAACAAUUUAGAUUUUUUUUCAAAACAAAGUACAACUAUUAUUGAUGUUUUUGAGCACUACCAUUUUGUUUUCGAAAGGAAAAGACAGGAGCGAAGAUGAUCGCAACAAAAGUAGUCAACAAUUGAGCAGCGGAUAACUAUUUCAAAAGCUCCGGUAAGUACCUUCAAUUUUUUCACUACUAAUGACUUAUUGUAGCGAUCUGUUGUUAAGUUUUAGGCGCGGUUUUUGGCUUGGUUUCAAAGAAAUUGCAUUCGAAAACACGAGUGCCGGACGAACGGAUCACCACAGGUAAUUUUGGUAUUUACGCAUAUUUACUCGUAUUUUACAUAUUUUUAACAUAUUUGCUUCUAGAGACUACAGAAAGACCUCCCACGUUAUAGGAAGUACCUAUCGGUAACAUAUCGAAAGAAAAACAAGCAAACCUAUAGGAAAAUAAUCACCAAAAAUAAAAUGAAUGAUGAAUUUUGAUUCUUUGCUUUUUUUCCUUUUCUAAUGCACAAAAUAAAGAAACAUAUCAUUCUAAUGAAUAAAAUACAAUUUGAUUCAAUACGACAUGCAUUAUUGUUUCAACAAAUAAAUUUUACUGUUUUAAAGCUAUAUUUUUGUUGUUCUAAAAAAUAUAUUUUUUAAAACAACAAAAUUACUGGUUUGGCUGCUAUUGACCGUAGCUGUCAAAUUCAAUAAUAUUUUUUGUUGAAUCAAAUUCACGAUGCGAAUAGAAUCAAUAAAAGCUAAUUAUAGGCCGGCAAAUAAUGCAGAAUUUUUAUCAAAGUAAUACAGAAUAUAUUCAUGAUUAAAAUUCUUUUCUCUGCGUGUUCAACAAAUUUCAGUUCAUUCUGCUCAUCUCGAUAUAUCGAGAUAGGAUAGUCCUUCAACAUGCGGCGAAUCAACUGUUAUUUGUUUAAAUAUUUAUUUGAUUGGCUCCUCAAGACAUGUUUGACACUUUUAGAUCGAAAAGAAGUUCAGCUUGUAUCGACCGAAUGGCUUAUUUUUUCGUACUGGAGAGAUUUACGAAAAUAACCACGUUACUUCUCAAGGAAUCUCUCGAAAUCAUGCUACCGAUGGUAUGGAGAGGGUUCUGUUGACUUGAAUGGACGGGCAUUCAGGGAUGUGCCGAGCUUCUGAACCUAAAAAAAAUAUAUUCUAUCGUUUCUUGCAGCUACACUGUUGAACAAAUUACACAACGUUUUAUCAAGAUUAUGAAUACACUUGUUCACAUGGUUCAAGCAACUAUGGCUUUGUUUCGUGAAUAGCUUAUUCAGAUUAAAGAAUGGCCAGCUUCUUACCCUGACCAGAACCCAAUUGGGAAUUUGUAGGGUUGAUUAUAAAAGCAGUGUGUAAAUAUAAUAAACAGUACGGAUGUUUUACAAAUCUAAACCGUGUAGUUGUUUGAAAGUGGAAUAAAAUCCAUUAAAAGUUAAUUAAAAGAAUCCUGGAUAGGCUGUUUAAACUUAUUACAUACGAACAAAAGAGAGACUACUUAUUAUUGAUAUGUUGAAUGUUUUGUGUGGCUUAAAUUAGCUAGAAUGAAUUCUCGCUUGGAUCUAUUGUUAUGAAACAAGGGAACUUAUAUAAGAUUAUUUAUAAGGUUCAAAGAACACAUGUAAUAUCGAAUUAUUAUUUUUCUCAUGUCUACUCUAAAUAAUGAAUUGAACAGGAGAACAAUAUGAUUCGAAUUCAUUCUACAUAUCCGAGUAUCCAAAAAUAUUGUUUGGAUCUAUAGUUAUGAAACAUAGUGUACGAACUCCUACAACGUGCCCAGUUUGUACCAAAAUUCGGAACUUCCGCAGAAUAGAUCCUGUGCAUCUUCAAGCAGAUUUCUUGGCUUAAAAUUGGGAGCCUUUCCAUCGUACACAAGAUGUUGAAGAGAAAUCACAACUUCUUACAGCCGAACUUCGGUUCCUUCUAGAUUAUCAUGCCCCGAAACAACCAUCUUCAUAAAGGACAAACGGACACCCUGGAUUACUGCUGAAAUUGAAGAAGCGAUCGAAAUGAGAAAUCUAGCAUACUCUCUUUUCUCUCGCAACCGAAAUAAGCGCAGAGGUGAUGUACACUGGAGCGAAUAUACGAGACAACGCGACAAAGUGAAAACGCUUAUUUUCGCAGCUAAGAAGCAAUUCGCGGAAAGGCAUUUUUCUUGCGAGCUACCGGCAAAACAACUUUGGAGUAAUCUAAAACGGGAAGGGGUACACAAUCCUUCAAAAAAGGGCAUGUGUAAUGAAAACGUCGAUGCCGAUCAGCUGAAUCUGUUUUUCUCUGAAGGACAUCGUUUGCUCCUGCCCAACAAUCACUCCGUGCAACGCGAUGAACCUGAAAAUAACUUCCAGCGUAGUCAACAAGCAUAGGCGCCAACUUAGGGGGGGGGCAAGCAUAGGUUUGCCCCCCCAAUAAUUGAGGAUUUUUCAAUUUUCCCAUAGAGUACUGCAAGCACCUGAUCUAACCUCACUUUGUCUGACAGUUUAGCGAGCUUGUUUACAAGGUGUUAGAAUUUUUAACGAGCGGCGAAAAUUUAAUUUACGUUUACCAUCUCGAAAUCAUUAUGAUACGGAAAUAUCGAUUAUAUUCAACUCUACUAGUACAAAACCAAUCGUCUAAUUACCGUUUUACUGAAAUUGUAUCGAAAAACAUUUUUGCCGGAUCUCGGCCAGAGACUAAGUCCAUGUAAACAAGCUCGCUGAACUGUCAGUGCACGGCUUCGUGACGUCAUCUUGCAGUAUCCUAUACAAACAUCAGAAAAAAACAAGCUUUGCCCCCCCAAUAUUUUGACCAAGUUGGCGCGUCUGUCAACAAGCAUUUCGUUUCCAACAUACCAAUGCAGACGAUGUUUCAAAGAAAAUGUGGGAAAUUCACAGUAACGCUACUGGCAGCGAUUGUAUACCAAUCUCCUUCAUCAAAUUGCUAUCACCAUUCAUUCUUCCUCACCUAGUGCAUCUUUUCAAUGCCAUAAUUGACACCGAAUCGCAUCCAUCAUGCUGGAAAAGGGCAAUAGUGACUCCGAUUCCUAAAAUAUCAAACCCAAUAGACCCAAAAGACUAGGGUAAACAGGUAUAAUAUGCCCCCCCUAAGCAGAAAUGGUAAUAUAUCUGAAACUGGCGCCUUAUUCCAUCUAUUGUUCACUGCAAAUCGUUGUUACUAAAGUUAUUGAAGUGUUGCAUGCGAACUUUGCCUUUGGAGAGGUGGCUAUGGAAGCUUUGAAAGGUUUACCGAACACGUUCCAAAAUUUGCCUUUUCAAAACAAACGGGGCAUACGCCCCAUCAAAAGAAAAACGUCCAGCCCCGUGAUAAACCUGUCCCAGGGGAUAAUUCCACCACAUGCUUAUCCUAGGAGGGUCUUUUAACAAGUGUUUAACUACAUAAAAGAUGCAAAGUAACACAAGCGAACAGAACUAUCAGGUAUCAGAAGGCCGGCUCCAGAGGCACGUUAUCCUCCAUUUGGGACAUUUGUGCCAUCGCCAAAAUAACAGCCUAUUUCAUCAUCUACCUGAGGGAAAAGGAAGGAAAAAGGAUUUGGAUGGGGAUAGGGACAGGUAGGGAAAUAGGAAAAAUACCCUGGAAGAGGGUACUAACGCACAAGCGUACCACAAUGGGUUCAAACAGCGCCCUGAAAAGGGCACUGUAAUUACGCAUAAAGCGAAAGAGAGCCUAUAGCUCUUUACCACAGCGGGUUAAGAACAACAGAAUAUCCUGAAGAUUCAGGUUUCUGUAGUCAGUUUCACUUAAUAAGUGUUUACCAAAUACUCGGAAACGCAGUUGCGCGAAAACUGGACAGUUACAUAUCAAAUGAUACGAAGUUCCAUAAUCGGAUUCACAGCUGUCACAGGUAAAUGAAUCAGCUUGCUGAAUAUUCGCCAUGUGAUAGCUGAAUCGGCAGUGGCCAGUCAAUGCUUUGACCAGCAUGCUGCAAUUCUGCUUAGACAGAUUAGUUAGAUACUUCGCCACCCGUAGAGAUGGCUCAGCACUAUACAAUUUGGUUUGACGACAUGACUCCAAACUAUUCCAAUAUUGUCUGUGUUGAGUGACAGCCCAGGAGUGAAUCUGAAGCUUAAUCGAACACUUCGAUAUCGGAAUAGCUGGCUCAGGGCCAAUGAAGUCAUGUGAUGCUCCAGAGCGAGCUAACUCAUCAGCCAAUUCAUUUCCAGCGAUGGAAGAAUGACCAGGUACCCAUAGAAGGUGAACAGCGUUUGCUGAAUUCAGCUCCUCGAUUUGAAUUCGACAAGCGAUAACUACCUUCGACCUGUAGUUGGCCGAAACAAGUGCUUUAAUAGCAGCCUGGCUAUCUGAACAGAAGUAUAUUACUUUGCCCAUUACGUGCUGCUGAAGUGCUGAUUGCACUCCGCAUAUAAGAGCAAAGAUUUCGGCCUGAAAAACGGUGCAGUGUCUACCAAGUGAGUAAGACUGAUACAGCCUUAGCUAACGAGAAUAAACACCAGCACCUGCUCGACCUUCGAGAAGGGAGCCAUCAGUGUAACAUACGAUGCCGUCUGAAAUACUUCUUUCCAGAUAACCAAAUGUCCACUCUUCUCGGGAAGGGAAUUUUGGCGCCUUAUUCCAUCUAUUGUUCACUGCAAAUCGUUGUUACUAAAGUUAUUGAAGUGUUGCAUGCGAACAUUGCCUUUGGAGAGGUGGCUAUGGAAGCUUUGAAAGGUUUUUCGAACACGUUCCAAAAUUUGCCUU